ensembl:lncRNA
UAGAUAUGGAAGAAAGCAUCAUAUUUCUAGCAAUGAGGCAGAGAUGAAAUGACCAGUAUAUACUACUGGUCUCAUUAACAACAGGCCUAUGAUAACCUUUGCAGAAAACGUAUGCUACACGACCCAAUCACAGACACACCUAAGAAAGUAUAUCGUCAAGCAUUCAUAAAGUGAAUUGCAAGGCAUGGCAGAUUUAUGAGCACUGUCUAUCCUCUGGAGGAUGGAAGCAACCUGACAGUUCAUAAGAAGAAUAUCAUUAUGUACUCUCAAGGUUCUUUCACAUUUGUUGAUGAACAGCAUUAUCCAUGUAGCUUAAAGUCAAACAUUUAUCCCUUUCCACUUACUCAACAAUGUCAUCUACUUGACACAUCUCACUGAAGAAAUAUCCUUCAACCAGGAUGCAUUAAAUCCAUCUCUUCACUAUUUAAAUCUCACCAAAUCUUCAACUUCAUAAGAAAAAGAAAAAAAACCUUCUAAGAUAUAUUAUUUAAUUCAAUGAUCACACAAUUUACAUUAAUCAGAGAGAAAGCAUUUUGUGUAUAUAAACAAAGAAUUAUAUUUUCUUG